AUACGUAGGGUCCAAGCGUUAAUCGGAAUUACUGGGCGUAAAGGGUGCGUAGGUGGCUUAUCAGGCCGGGGGUGAAAGGCAUUGGCUCAACCAAUGUAAGCCUUUGGAACUGAUAGGCUUGAGUGCAGGAGAGGUAAGUGGAAUUCCUAGUGUAGAGGUGAAAUUCGUAGAUAUUAGGAGGAACACCAGUGGCGAAGGCGACUUACUGGACUGUAACUGACACCGAGGCACGAAAGCGUGGGUAGC
rnacentral:rRNA from 1 species